rnacentral:tRNA from 1 species
GGAAGGGUGACAGAGUGGUCGAAUGUACCGGUCUUGAAAACCGGCGUACCGCAAGGUACCGGGGGUUCGAAUCCCUCCCCUUCCG